UACAGAGGUGCCGAGCGUUAGGCGGAAUCACUGGGCUUAAAGCGCGUGUAGGCGGGUCGUUAAGUGUCCGCGUGAAAUCCCACGGCUCAACCGUGGAACUGCCGGGCAUACUGGCGACCUUGAGGCACUCAGGGGCGAGCGGAACAAAUGGUGGAGCGGUGAAAUGCGUAGAUAUGGGGAGGAACACCGGUGGCGAAGGCGGCCACCUGGACGGUAACUGACGCUGAGACGCGAAAGCGUGGGGAGCAAACAGG
rnacentral:rRNA from 1 species